CCUCCAGCUUUGUUCUUUUGGCUUAGGAUUGACUUGGUGAUGCGGGCCCUUUUUUGGUUCCAUAUGAACUUUAAAGUAGUUUUUUCCAAUUCUGUGAAGAAAGUCAUUGGUAGCUUGAUGGGGAUGGCAUUGAAUCUAUAAAUUACCUUGGGCAGUAUGGCCAUUUUCACGUUUGUAUCCUGAGACUUUGCUGAAGUUGCUUAUCAGCUUAAGG
rnacentral:lncRNA from 1 species